ACGGGAGGCGGCAGUGGGGAAUAUUGCACAAUGGGCGAAAGCCUGAUGCAGCAACGCCGCGUGAGGGAAGACGGUUUUCGGAUUGUAAACCUCUGUCUUUGGUGAAGAAUAAUGACAUUAGCCGAGGAGGAAGCCACGGCUAACUACGUGCCAGCAGCCGCGGUAAUACGUAGGUGGCAAGCGUUAUCCGGAAUUACUGGGUGUAAAGGGAGCGCAGGCGGGAAAGCAAGUCAGCGGUGAAAUGUAUGGGCUCAACCCAUGAACUGCCGUUGAAACUGUUUGUCUUGAGUGGAGUAGAGGCAAGCGGGAUUCCUGGUGUAGCGGUGAAAUGCGUAGAUAUCAGGAGGAACACCGGUGGCGAAGGCGGCUUGCUGGGCUUUUACUGACGCUGAGGCUCGAAAGCGUGGGUAGCAAACAGGAUUAGAUACCCUGGUA
rnacentral:rRNA from 1 species